CCUUGGCGAUAACGACUGGCACAAUCCAAAGCGACUAACUAACUCUAUUAAUAAGAAAAAUUUCAUAAUAUUGGAAAGACUUAAAAUAAAAGAGUAUUAUGAAAAAAAAAUUAAGAAACAAAUUUUUGGAAAAUAUUGAAAAAAGAACUGAAAGAUUACUUACUAACUCUUUCAAGUAGUGCCAAGAAGUGUUCAGUCAUAGCGUUUUAAUUGUAAUAAAAAUAAAAGCAACUAAUUUUUGAUAUGUCGAUCAAUAAAAUAAAUGCUGCUCAAAAAGAGAUCACGGUGAGGUUUAUGGAUCAGCAUAAGGAUUUGGCAAAAAAUGUGAUUCCUAACAACUUUAAAGGAAAGCAACAAAUGAAUAAACUUUGGGAACAGCUGACACAAAAAUUGAAUGCGCGGGGUCCUCCUAUUAAAGACGCCAGCCGUUGAAGAAAAGUUUUCAGUGAUCAAAAGUACAUUAUUAAAAAAAAAAUUGAGCUGCAACAAGGUAUCGAAAUUGCAAACCAGAGGCCGAGAUGUCGUUAAAAUCCCUUUAACCUUCGCGGAAAAGCAAAUAAUCGAUGCGGCGGGAUUGGAAAUCUCCGCGACAGGAGCGGACAGGUGUAGUUUUUCAACCAUUUCCUCGACAGGUUUAACGGGAGAUAUGACGGAUAAAACGAUCCAUCCUCAUGAAAGAGAAGGAAUUCCAGACUAAUAUGAAAAUAAAACAUCUUGAAUUAGCUAAUAGGAAAAAAGAACUAAUUUAUCUUAACUCAUUCAACUUUGCUUUUUUGGUUUCCAAUUCUUUUUUCAAUUGUUUUUAAAUUGUUAUCAUCGUUUUCUACGUAAAUUCUCUCUGGAUUGUUUUGAACAAUGUCGUAAAAGGCACUAUAAAUUUUACAUAAAUGCUUUGCAAAACGGCAUGUGUUCGCAAAUUGUAUUAUUUUUAUACACAAGAGUAACGGCCCUACUCUUCAUUGCACAAAAUUUUCUGUCCUUCCUUUAAAAUGCCUAUUGUCCUCUCUAUUAUUAAGCAAGGCUUGGAGUGUAGCUCAUUAAAUGUCCGUUCGCGUGAAUCGUUGUGGACGUUGCAACAUAAUUGUAAAGUGAAGGGAACAGCGACGGAUAAGUGGCCUUCAAAUUCUAUUCUACCAGGCUAGUAAAUAAAACCAUCUUUGCUCAACCUAAAGCCUUAUUAUAUAGGGAAUAUGGGGUAUCUUAGUAAUUUCCUUUGGGAUGUUUGGAUGAUUUUUGCCUGUACUUCGUAA